GAAAAUUGAUGAGCUGAGCUGAGCAGGUGUACAGGAAAGCUUUGCGCUGCAGGGUUAGGCAAUGGAAAAAGUGUGAAGCACUUAUGUCCAUGACCAGAUCGAGUGAUAAGAGGACCGGCUUCCUUUGCUAUCUAAUUAAUUGUCUUUCUUUUCAAAACACGGUCUUUGAUUUCAAGAAGCACCUGAAGAAGCAUAACCUCUUGGCGGCUCCACUUCUGUUCUUCGAAUGGUCAUCUUUUGCUCCAGAAAAGGAAUAUGAGGAAUCGAGAAUGACAAUCAUGAAGGCCAACUACAUUCGAGAUCUCCUGUUUUCCUGCUCAGUUCACUCAUGCUCCCAGAGGGUGGCAAUUUUGUCCUCUUUAUCUGUGUAUUCUUCAUACCACUAUUGCUCACUAAGUGAUGCCUAGAACACAAAUCCUAUGAUAGCUAUCACAUUGAGAAAGGUGCUGUGAACCUAGAAUUUCUUGAAAAAGGCUCUCUUCACAACAUGUAGAAUUUCGUCGCCAUGCACAUCCAAGUGAAAUAAGGUAAAGGUAAAAUUAGAACCUUUCCUAGGUCUUUCCAAUAAUUAUCCUACACAGGGGAAUAGUAUUGUCACAAGAUUCUCUGCCUAAAUUUCAAAACAUCACAUAGCUUAUUAAAAAAGAGAUGUUAAUUUUAUCAGAUAAAAUAUGAAACAUGAUUUUUUUUAAGGAAUCUGUUACAGUUUGGACAUAAUAAAUUAUUUUGGAGAAACA
rnacentral:lncRNA from 1 species